UACGGAGGAUGCGAGUGUUAUCCGGAAUCACUGGGCGUAAAGCGUCUGUAGGUUGUUUGCUAAGUCUGCUGUUAAAGCUUGAAGCUCAACUUCAAAAAUGCAGCGGAAACUAGUAGACUUGAGUGUGGUAGGGGUAGAGGGAAUUUCCAGUGAAGUGGUGAAAUGCGUAGAGAUCCGGAGGAACCCCAGAGGCGAAGGCGGCCCCCUGGCUCGUACCUGACGCUCAGCCACGAAAGCAUGGGGAGCGAACGGG
rnacentral:rRNA from 1 species